AACGAACGCUGGCGGCAGGCUUAACACAUGCAAGUCGAACGAGAUCUUCGGAUCUAGUGGCAGACGGGUGAGGAACACGUGGGAACAUCCCUUUCAGUUCGGAAUAACGUUGGGAAACUAACGCUAAUACCGGAUACGUCCUUCGGGAGAAAGAUUUAUCGCUGAAAGAUUGGCCCGCGUCUGAUUAGCUAGUUGGUGAGGUAACGGCUCACCAAGGCUACGAUCAGUAGCUGAUCUGAGAGGAUGAUCAGCCACAUUGGGACGUGAGACACGGACCAAACUCCUACGGGAGGCAGCAGUGGGGAAUAUUGGACAAUGGGCGCAAGCCUGAUCCAGCCAUGCCGCGUGAGUGAUGACGGCCUUCGGGUUGUAAAGCUCUUUUGUCCGGGAAGAUAAUGACUGUACCGGAAGAAUAAGCCCCGGCAAACUUCGUGCCAGCAGCCGCCGUAA
rnacentral:rRNA from 1 species